GCAAAAUAAUGAAUGCUGUGACAGGUCUCAAGGGCCAUUCUCAGUGACAAUAAAGCCUGAAGCUACAGAAAAAAGCAGUUUGUUCAAGACAGACCCAGAUCUAACAUUUCUUUUGGAAGGAGCAAGCAGCAAGUUAAGAUCAAAAUGAGUGCUUUGAGAAGAGUGGAUUACUACUAUUACUACACAUUCCCCGCCAUGAUGGACAAUUUCACAAUAGUCCCAAGGAAAGCUGCCAGUCAUCCAUAUACUGAAACUUCCAAAACUGAACCAAAGAAUUAAGUUUGACUAAGAAUGACUGAAGGAUUCUUUGAUAUUGGAAAAUAUCUAAUAAAGCAUCAUACUCUGGUUAUUAACUACUGUAAUCAUGCAUUUGAGAACUGACAAAAUCUUCACCUGUGUAAGAAAAAAUAAAAUGAAACAAUAAAGCAGGGAUUUAUGUUUGCUCAGCUAAGAAGUACCUGUGCGACCGUCUGUUCUAUUCUACAUACAAACCUAAUUUUACUCAUCACAGAUUCAAGCCUCCUAUAUACCAAACUCCCUUGUCCCCCAUAC
ensembl:lncRNA